GAGUUUGAUCAUGGCUCAGGAUGAACGCUGGCGGCGUGCCUAACACAUGCAAGUCGAACGAAGCGCUUUACUUUGAUUUCUUCGGAUUGAGAAGUUUUGUGACUGAGUGGCGGACGGGUGAGUAACGCGUGGGUAACCUGCCUCACACAGGGGGAUAACAGUUAGAAAUGACUGCUAAUACCGCAUAAGACCACAGCACCGCAUGGUGCAGGGGUAAAAACUCCGGUGGUGUGAGAUGGACCCGCGUCUGAUUAGCUAGUUGGUAAGGUAAGGGCUUACCAAGGCGACGAUCAGUAGCCGACCUGAGA
rnacentral:rRNA from 1 species